UACGAGGGAUGCAAGCGUUAUCCGGAAUUAUUGGGCGUAAAGAGUUUGUAGGUGGUCAAGUGUGUUUAAUGUUAAAUCUUAAAGCUUAACUUUGAAACUGCGUUAAAAACUGCUUGUCUUGAGUAUGGUAGGGGUAAAGGGAAUUCCCAGUGUAGCGGUGAAAUGCGUAGAUAUUGGGAAGAACACUAAACAGCGAAGGCACUUUACUAGGCUAAUACUGACGCUGAGAAACGAAAGGUAAGGUAGCGAAACGG
rnacentral:rRNA from 1 species